UCGGCCUCCCAAAGUGCUGGGAUUACAGGCUUGAGCCACCGCGCCCGGCCUGCUGGGCAGUUCUUUUUAUCUAAGUAAAUCCAGCCUCCCCCGACACCGUAUAGGCACCUGACGGUGAGGCUUAUAGACUCUUCCCUUUCCUUUCCUUCCCCAGCUACUGUGUGAGUCUGUCCCACAGUGGAAGUACAGAACAAAACAGAAGACAGAGUUGAAUGGAAUUCCUCCUACUUAAGAAGAAGCAAGAGCAAACCACAUCCAUCCACCUGAAGUGACUGGCAGGCAAGGCAAUUUCAAUCCUGAAAAGAAGAGAGGAACCAAGGACACCUUGAAAGAGAUGGUGGGUGUAAGUUUCAAUUUCUGUUUUUCUUUUAAAGAUUAUAUGUCAUAAUGAGAAGCAGAGAACAACUAUUUUGGCUGUGGGAAAGGGGAGUCUUUUAUGCAAACUAUGAUUUGAAAUCUCCGGACUACAUUUAAAGACCCAGCCAUUUAGAAGAGAGAUACCUCCUCUUUCCCACUGACCUCUGUGGGAUAGGUUGUGAUUUUGAGAAAAGGAGGUAGUAUAAGAGAAACAAGGAUGAAGAGAAAAAACACUUUCUUUUAACCCUCCCAGUGGGUCUAUGACAAAGCUGCAAGGAGUUUCAGUGCGCUGGUGAUCUUUUUGCUGGGUUAAAAUCAGGAUUACAAAUCCUUAAGCAUAAGUAGCAUAUGUAUCCUUUCCUAUUUCAAGAGAAGUUAGGUCUCUAGAACUGAAAAGGCAGACAUGCUCAUUUCUCUGACUGCUUCUUUUUUUUGUUUGUUUGAGACAAGAGUCUCA